UGGGGAAUAUUGCACAAUGGGCGCAAGCCUGAUGCAGCCAUGCCGCGUGUAUGAAGAAGGCCUUCGGGUUGUAAAGUACUUUCAGCGGGGAGGAAGGGAGUAAAGUUAAUACCUUUGCUCAUUUGACGUUACCCGCAGAAGAAGCACCGGCUAACUCCGUGCCAGCAGCCGCGGUAAUACGGAGGGUGCAAGCGUUAAUCGGAAUUACUGGGCGUAAAGCGCACGCAGGCGGUUUGUUAAGUCAGAUGUGAAAUCCCCGGGCUCAACCUGGGAACUGCAUCUGAUACUGGCAAGCUUGAGUCUCGUAGAGGGGGGUAGAAUUCCAGGUGUAGCGGUGAAAUGCGUAGAGAUCUGGAGGAAUACCGGUGGCGAAGGCGGCCCCCUGGACGAAGACUGACGCUCAGGUGCGAAAGCGUGGGGAGCAAACAGG
rnacentral:rRNA from 1 species